rnacentral:lncRNA from 1 species
ACUUGCUAAGUCUCUAUCUCUUAAUGCAUUUUUUCAUGGACUGCAUUCAAGUCGGCAAUCAUGUGAUUGUUUUCUUGUUAAGUUUUGAAGAUGUGGGAAUAUGGUUUUGCUAAUAUUUCAAUAUUGAAAAUAGGUCACAAGAGUUGUGUUGUGCUCUAAUGUUAAAUAUACUUUUUUUUAAAUGGCAUGUAUUACUACUGUCAUUUGUUUGAUUACAAGAUAAUAUUUUCUUGCCUCUUUUUAAAUAUGUUUCAUGGAUUUCUUAUCAAUAAGGCCUGUUACUUUCUUANNNN